rnacentral:rRNA from 1 species
ACUCAAAGGAAUUGACGGGGACCCGCACAAGCGGUGGAGCGUGUUGUUUAAUUCGAGGAUAAGCGAAGAACCUUACCAGGGUUUGACAUCCUGCUAAUCUUUUCGAAAGUUAAGAGUGCCUUCGGGCAGGCAGUGACAGGUGCUGCAUGGCCGUCGUCAGCUCGUGUCGUGAGAUGUUUGGUUAAGUCCAUCAACGAGCGCAACCCUUAUGUUUAGUUGAAUUUUUCUAGACAGACUGCCCUGGCAACAGGGAGGAAGGAGGGGAUGAUGUCAGGUCAGUAUUGCCCUUACACCCUGGGCUACAAACACGCUACAAUGGCCGGUACAGAGGGCAGCCAACCCGCGAGGGGGAGCAAAUCCCAUCAAAACCGGUCUCAGUUCGGAUUGCAGGCUGAAACUCGCCUGCAUGAAGCUGGAAUCGCUAGUAAACGUAGGGCAGCAUUACUACGUUGAAUACGUUCCCGGGUCUUGCACACACCGCCCGU